UGGAUGGCUCAGUUGGUUAGAGCGUGGUGCUGAUAACGCUAAAGUUGCAGGUUCAGUCCCCGAAUGGGACAG